AGUGAACGCUGGCGGUAGGCCUAACACAUGCAAGUCGAACGGCAGCACAGUAAGAGCUUGCUCUUACGGGUGGCGAGUGGCGGACGGGUGAGGAAUACAUCGGAAUCUACUUUUUCGUGGGGGAUAACGUAGGGAAACUUACGCUAAUACCGCAUACGACCUACGGGUGAAAGCAGGGGAUCUUCGGACCUUGCGCGUGUGGAUGAGCCGAUGUCGGAUUAGCUAGUUGGCGGGGUAGAGGCCCACCAAGGCGCCGAUCGGUAGCCGGCCUGAGAGGGUGACCGGCCACAGUGGGACGGAGGUGCGGCACAGACGACUACGGGAGGAAGCGGUGGGGAAUAUUGCACAAUGGGCGGAAGCAUGAUGCAGCAACGCCGCGGGCGGGAUGAGGGCAUUCGGGUUGUAAACCGCUUUCGCCUGUGACGACGCGUGAGUGACGGUAAUGGGUAAAGAAGCAACGGCUAAAUACGGG
rnacentral:rRNA from 1 species